rnacentral:rRNA from 1 species
UACGUAGGGCGCAAGCGUUGUCCGGAUUUAUUGGGCGUAAAGAGCUCGUAGGCGGCUUGUCGCGUCUGCUGUGAAAACCGGAGGCUCAACCUCCGGCCUGCAGUGGGUACGGGCAGACUAGAGUGCGGUAGGGGGAGAUUGGAAUUCCUGGUGUAGCGGUGGAAUGCGCAGAUAUCAGGAGGAACACCGAUGGCGAAGGCAGAUCUCUGGGCCGUAACUGACGCUGAGGAGCGAAAGCAUGGGGAGCGAACAGG